UACAGAGGUCCCAAGCGUUACUGAGAAUCACUGGGUUUAAAGGGUGCGUAGGUGGUCCGUUAAGUCAGUUGUGAAAUCCCCGGGCUCAACCCGGGAACUGCUUCUGAUACUGGCGGACUUGAGGCCAGUAGGGGUCACUAGAACUGACGGUGGAGCGGUGGAAUGCGUAGAUAUCGUCAGGAAUGCCGGUGGUGAAGACGGGUGACUGGGCUGGUUCUGACACUGAGGCACGAAAGCGUGGGGAGCGAACGGG
rnacentral:rRNA from 1 species